GUAGAUGCUCAUUCCAUCUCUUAUGUUCGCCUUCGUGCCUCAUAAACUCCGGAAUGAUGCAGAGCCGUUCUUACGGUGCUUAUCGUCCACUGACAGAUGUCGCAU
rnacentral:misc_RNA from 1 species